CCUACGGGAGGCAGCAGUGAGGAAUAUUGGUCAAUGGACGAGAGUCUGAACCAGCCAAGUAGCGUGAAGGAUGACUGCCCUAUGGGUUGUAAACUUCUUUUAUAUGGGAAUAAAACGUUCCACGUGUGGGAUUUUGUAUGUACCAUAUGAAUAAGGCUCGGCUAACUCCGUGCCAGCAGCCGCGGUAAUACGGAGGAUCCGAGCGUUAUCCGGAUUUAUUGGGUUUAACGGGAGCGUAGGUGGAUUGUUAAGUCAGUUGUGAAAGUUUGCGGCUCAACCGUAAAAUUGCAGUUGAAACUGGCAGUCUGGAGUACAGUAGAGGUGGGCGGAAUUCGUGGUGUAGCGGUGAAAUGCUUAGAUGUCACGAAGAACUCCGAUUGCGAAGGCAGCUCACUGGACUGCAACUGACACUGAGGCUCGAAAGUGUGGGUAUCAAACAGGAGUAGAUACCCGAGUAGUC
rnacentral:rRNA from 1 species